CCUACGGGGGGCAGCAGUGAGGAAUAUUGGUCAAUGGACGAGAGUCUGAACCAGCCAAGUAGCGUGAAGGAUGACUGCCCUAUGGGUUGUAAACUUCUUUUAUAUGGGAAUAAAACGUUGCACGUGUGGGAUUUUGUAUGUACUAUAUGAAUAAGGAUCGGCUAACUCCGUGCCAGCAGCCGCGGUAAUACGGAGGAUCCGAGCGUUAUCCGGAUUUAUUGGGUUUAAAGGGAGCGUAGAUGGAUUGUUAAGUCAGUUGUGAAAGUUUGCGGCUCAACCGUAAAAUUGCAGUUGAAACUGGCAGUCUUGAGUACAGUAGAGGUAGGCGGAAUUCGUGGUGUAGCGGUGAAAUGCUUAGAUAUCACGAAGAACUCCGAUUGCGAAGGCAGUUCACUGGACUGCAACUGACACUGAGGCUCGAAAGUGUGGGUAUCAAACAGGAUUAGAUACCCUAGUAGUC
rnacentral:rRNA from 1 species